CGAGCCGGGCGGGCGGCCGCGUGGAGUCCCUCACGGGACUUCCCGAGGAACGUCCGGGCUCCACAGGGCAGGGUGGUGGCUAACGGCCACCCGGGGUGACCCGCGGGACAGUGCCACAGAAAACAGACCGCCGGGGACCUCGGUCCUCGGUAAGGGUGAAACGGUGGUGUAAGAGACCACCAGCGCCUGAGGUGACUCAGGCGGCUAGGUAAACCCCACCCGGAGCAAGGUCAAGAGGAGACGCCUCCUCGGAAGAGAAGGCGUCUUUGCGCGGACGUUCGAGGGCUGCCCGCCCGAGUCCGCGGGUAGACCGCACGAGGCCGGCGGCAACGCCGGCCCUAGAUGGAUGGCCGUCGCCGGCGGGCCCGCGAGGACCCGCCGGAACAGAACCCGGCGUACAGCCCGACUCGUCUG
rfam:Streptomyces caelestis strain NRRL B-24567 P188contig4.1, whole genome shotgun sequence.